AACGCACAUUGCGCCCGCCAGCAUUCUGGCGGGCAUGCCUGUUCGAGCGUCAUUUCAACCCUCGACCUCCCCUUGGGGAGGUCGGCGUUGGGGACCGGCAGCACACCGCCGGCCCUGAAAUGGAGUGGCGGCCCGUCCGCGGCGACCUCUGCGUAGUAAUACAGCUCGCACCGGAACCCCGACGCGGCCACGCCGUAAAACACCCAACUUCUGAACGUUGACCUCGAAUCAGGUAGGACUACCCGCUGAACUUAA
rnacentral:misc_RNA from 3 species